rnacentral:rRNA from 2 species
AUGUCGUUCGCUCGCGUCUAAUUCACCGGAUCCCAUCAGAACUCCGUAGUUAAGCAUGCAUGGGCGACAGUAGUACUAGGAUGGGUGACCUCCUAGGAAGUCCUCGUGUUGCACCUC